CUGGUUCUGCUGGUGAGACGAUGUGUUCACAGGAAACCUGAAGGUAAUGGAGAAGAUGACAUCAUCACUGACAUCACGUGCAGUGUCAUCAACAUAUCCAAGUGUCUGCAACAACCAAUCAGAAAAAGUGAAGAGUGCGAUUCAGCGGUGAUCUACUCAGCAGUGAGAACUGAAGACGUCGGUUAUGGACAAACAACCAUCAGAACAAGAAGGCCCAGGUUCAGCUCCUUAUCUUUGACUAUGGACAGAGACAAGCGGCUCACCCUUUUUUCCAGCCAUCAUGGUAAC